UGCUAAGUUGGCAAGAUGAAGGCCUGGUAUCUCUAGCAGCCGCUGGCUUUAUUACUGUGUGAGGAGAAAGCCAGAAUGACAGUAAGGAACUGUGCUGGUCCCAGGCCCUGGUCACCACCCUGCUAAGCCAGACAAGGGGCGUGGAACUACAACCCACGUGUGUGACCCGUUUGUCUGCUUCCUCUCUCCACGUAAAGUCUGCAGCUCGUUCCUCCUGUCCGCACCCGAGGCUCUGCACACAGCAGGGGCUCGGCCUCUGGGUUCUUCUGACUUGUUACUAGACUAACGACAGAGGUAAAUGGCUCUUUAAAUCCAGCCAUUUUACAAAGAACUAUGGUCCCUGUCACCAUCGCACUCCAGACGAUGAGGAACAAUUAGGUUCACGUCAAAUUGCCCGUGCUGCCUCAACCGUGACCUGUUUACUUCAGUGUGGCUUGUUUCAUAGGAACUUCCGGGAAGGCGUGCGCCCUAGUCAUCGCCUCAGUCCUCCUGGUGCGCUCCGUCCUCUCCAGUCUUAAACGCUUUGUAUGGAGCCAUCCAGCCAACGCUCAAUGGUCUUGUUUCAGCCAGAUCAGUACAAAGCGCAAAGCCAGACCUGUCUGACCUGUCUGACACCACGUUCAGCUUGUGCAAUAUCGUGAUGUGAACUCCACGCCGGAGACAGGAGGAAACCUGAGAUUUCUAGGCUGGCAGCAAGAAAUUGUCACUUACGACGGUGUUAAGUUUGGUUACUCUCUCCAAACAUUUGAGAGGCUGACCAAAAAUGGGGUAAUUGUUAAAUGAAACUGCGUUGGCUUAACAUGGCCACUUGGAUUCCUAUGGAUAGGCUGAAAUCGUGCACGGUAGGCUGAGUGUCUGAGCUGGUUGCUAGGUGAUAGCCAAUCACAGCAGGUAGGCUUCAGCCAGUCACGGGCAUCGCGCCUUUGAAACCAUGCGAAUGCAGACAAGCUUCAGACCAUAACCAGCCCAAAUCGUUUCCCGCCCUCGUUCCUUCACUUUCGUCUUUGUACGUCACGGUCACGUCCCCCUUCCUGUACACAUCAUUCGCCUUUUCCAGAACUUAAAUACCUAGUUGACCACGAGGCUAGCUGGAGCUGUCCGGAAGUCCAGGGACAACCGCCCAAUUUA